UACGUAGGGUGCGAGCGUUAAUCGGAAUUACUGGGCGUAAAGCGUGCGCAGGCGGUUCGUUGUGUCGGCGGGGAAAGCCCCGGGCUCAACCUGGGAAUGGCCGUUGAAACUGGCGAACUGGAGUGUGGCAGAGGGGGGUGGAAUUCCGCGUGUAGCAGUGAAAUGCGUAGAGAUGCGGAGGAACACCGAUGGCGAAGGCAGCCCCCUGGGCUAAUACUGACGCUCAGGCACGAAAGCGUGGGGAGCAAACGGG
rnacentral:rRNA from 1 species